UACGUAGGGAGCGAGCGUUGUCCGGAAUUACUGGGUGUAAAGGGUGCGUAGGCGGGAUUAUAAGUCAGACGUGAAAUACCGGGGCUCAACCUCGGGGCUGCGUUUGAAACUAUAAUUCUUGAGUGAAGUAGAGGUAGGCGGAAUUCCUAGUGUAGCGGUGAAAUGCGUAGAUAUUAGGAGGAACACCAGUGGCGAAGGCGGCCUACUGGGCUUUAACUGACGCUGAGGCACGAAAGCAUGGGGAGCAAACAGG
rnacentral:rRNA from 1 species